rnacentral:rRNA from 1 species
UACAGAGGUCCCAAGCGUUGUUCGGAUUCAUUGGGCGUAAAGGGUGCGUAGGUGGCGCUGUAAGUCGGGGGUGAAAUUUCGGAGCUUAACUCCGAAACUGCAUUCGAUACUGCGGUGCUUGAGGACUGGAGAGGAGACUGGAAUUCAUGGUGUAGCAGUGAAAUGCGUAGAGAUCAUGAGGAAGACCAGUGGCGAAGGCGGGUCUCUGGACAGUUCCUGACACUGAGGCACGAAGGCCAGGGGAGCAAACGGG